rnacentral:rRNA from 1 species
CCCUGCUCAGGAUGAACGCUGGCGGCGUGCCUAAUACAUGCAAGUCGAGCGAACGGACGAGAAGCUUGCUUCUCUGAUGUUAGCGGCGGACGGGUGAGUAACACGUGGAUAACCUACCUAUAAGACUGGGAUAACUUCGGGAAACCGGAGCUAAUACCGGAUAAUAUUUUGAACCGCAUGGUUCAAAAGUGAAAGACGGUCUUGCUGUCACUUAUAGAUGGAUCCGCGCUGCAUUAGCUAGUUGGUAAGGUAACGGCUUACCAAGGCAACGAUGCAUAGCCGACCUGAGAGGGUGAUCGGCCACACUGGAACUGAGACACGGUCCAGACUCCUACGGGAGGCAGCAGUAGGGAAUCUUCCGCAAUGGGCGAAAGCCUGACGGAGCAACGCCGCGUGAGUGAUGAAGGUCUUCGGAUCGUAAAACUCUGUUAUUAGGGAAGAACAUAUGUGUAAGUAACUGUGCACAUCUUGACGGUACCUAAUCAGAAAGCCACGGCUAACUACGUGCCAGCAGCCGCGGUAAUACGUAGGUGGCAAGCGUUAUCCGGAAUUAUUGGGCGUAAAGCGCGCGUAGGCGGUUUUUUAAGUCUGAUGUGAAAGCCCACGGCUCAACCGUGGAGGGUCAUUGGAAACUGGAAAACUUGAGUGCAGAAGAGGAAAGUGGAAUUCCAUGUGUAGCGGUGAAAUGCGCAGAGAUAUGGAGGAACACCAGUGGCGAAGGCGACUUUCUGGUCUGUAACUGACGCUGAUGUGCGAAAGCGUGGGGAUCAAACAGGAUUAGAUACCCUGGUAGUCCACGCCGUAAACGAUGAGUGCUAAGUGUUAGGGGGUUUCCGCCCCUUAGUGCUGCAGCUAACGCAUUAAGCACUCCGCCUGGGGAGUACGACCGCAAGGUUGAAACUCAAAGGAAUUGACGGGGACCCGCACAAGCGGUGGAGCAUGUGGUUUAAUUCGAAGCAACGCGAAGAACCUUACCAAAUCUUGACAUCCUUUGACAACUCUAGAGAUAGAGCCUUCCCCUUCGGGGGACAAAGUGACAGGUGGUGCAUGGUUGUCGUCAGCUCGUGUCGUGAGAUGUUGGGUUAAGUCCCGCAACGAGCGCAACCCUUAAGCUUAGUUGCCAUCAUUAAGUUGGGCACUCUAAGUUGACUGCCGGUGACAAACCGGAGGAAGGUGGGGAUGACGUCAAAUCAUCAUGCCCCUUAUGAUUUGGGCUACACACGUGCUACAAUGGACAAUACAAAGGGCAGCGAAACCGCGAGGUCAAGCAAAUCCCAUAAAGUUGUUCUCAGUUCGGAUUGUAGUCUGCAACUCGACUACAUGAAGCUGGAAUCGCUAGUAAUCGUAGAUCAGCAUGCUACGGUGAAUACGUUCCCCGGGUCUUGUACACACCGGCCCGUCACACCACGAAGAGUUUGUAACACCCCGAAGCCCGGGGGAGUAACCUUUUUAGGAGCUAGCCCGUCCAAAGGGGGGACAAAAUGAUUGGGGGUGAAUCACCAAAAGGGGGGACCA